UACGUAGGGGGCGAGCGUUGUCCGGAAUCAUUGGGCGUAAAGCGCGUGUAGGCGGCUCGGUAAGUCCGGUGUGAAACCUUGGGGCUCAACCCCAAGCCUGCACUGGAUACUGUCGAGCUCGAGUCCGGGAGGGGAGAGCGGAAUUCCUAGUGUAGCGGUGAAAUGCGCAGAUAUUAGGAAGAACACCGGUGGCGAAGGCGGAUCUCUGGGCCUUGCCUGACGCUGAGGCGCGAAAGCUAGGGGAGCGAACAGG
rnacentral:rRNA from 1 species